UCUGGAUUUUGCACCCCAUGGCAGAACAAUUGGCCAGGUGCUCAUUUCUCGGAAGGUCUCACCCGAAGACUUGGCUGGGGCAGCUUAGAACACGUGUGGCAGGGCCCUGCUGAGGUGCUGACCCUCCCCCUUCACGCUGGACCCAGCCAGAGGGAGAGGGAGCCCAGAGGACCCAGAGCUGGCCUGAGAAGCAGACGUCCAUGCGGAUGGAGGAGAAUGUCCAGUUGGGGUCUCCACAGCUGCUCUUAUAAUGUAAGUUCCAUGAUCGUGGAGACCACGCCUGUCAACAUCCAUGUUUUCUCUGCUCAGCCAAGGUCUCAACCAUGAACAUCAGCAACUAGAUGACCUCUAGUCUCUGGAAAGCCCGGUUCUCAGCUUUGUCCCCACCUGUGGCUGUGCCAUUUUACACUCCCAUUCACAAUAUAUCUACAAAGUCUCUAGGACU